UCAAAGCUGCAAAAGUUGAACUGCGUGUU
rnacentral:piRNA from 1 species